CCUCAGGCUUUAGGAACUGAAGAGGGAUGAUACUGUGAAGUGUUCAGGAAUGAAGUCUCGUGAUGUCUGCUACCUAGUUUCAAAUGGCAGGAGAGACAGAGGGAUGGGGAAGCAAAAGUGACCAUUGUUAACUCUAGGUGGUUGGUCAUAAAAUUGCUGUUAUGUAUGUGAAAACGGCCAAAUAUACCAUCGACCCCAGAUUAGGAUCAGUCUGGUGCCUCUGAAAAUGUGAAUUGAGAAGAACUGAAAGAAAAUCUUUCCCUGGGGAGACUGCAGCCGAAACACCCUUCUGACGAAUGUGCUGACCUAAUCUAAGCCUCAAUUUCCUUCAACAAGGGAUGCAUCGCUCACUUCCCUUGAGCUGUGAGAAUGAAACAAGAUAAUGCGUUAAAGCCCUUGGCCCAGUUCCUGGCAUGUGGCGAGCUCUUGGUCCAUAAGCAAAUCUUCGUAUUAGUGUGAGUUCCUGGUCCUCCAUGAAAGAACAAAGCUUUUGGCCUGUAAAAUCUAAUCUCUGGAAAUGAGAAGCACUAAAAAGAAGAGGAGUGGGGACGGAGUGGGGAGGCACUUGGAAGGCUCCUGUUUUGUUUUGUUUUGUUUUGUUGACAAAUUCAUUCUUCAUCUUAGCCAGCGCCAUGGAGUGAGUCCAGCUCUCUGUGUCUGGCCCCGCUGUGAACCCCCUGAGGCUAUCCACAGUUGGAUAUCUUCCUGUUCCUUCCCUGCCCUACCCUCUUCAAAUGCAAACUUGGGGGGGCUCAAGAUUAUUCCAUA
rnacentral:sRNA from 1 species